rnacentral:tRNA from 1 species
AAGAAAGUGGCAGAGUGGCUAUGCGGUUGGCUUGAAACCAAUUUAUGGGGGUUCAAUUCCUUCCUUUCUCG